rnacentral:lncRNA from 1 species
UAAAAACCGAACCGGGAUUAAAAACCCAACUAGGUUCCCUUAAAAAGCCGAACCGGGUUGCCCAAAAAACCGAACCGGGGUCAAUAAACCCGAACCGGGUUCCCAAAACCGAACCGGGGUCAAUAAUCCCGAACUGGGAUAUCCGUGGAAUGGGAUAUCCUACGGAUAAUAUUGAACCGGGAUAUCUCUUGAAUGGGAUAUCCCUAGCUGGAAUAAGCAUGACAGGUUGCCCAGUCCAGACAAGAAAAAACAGCUGAACCGGGCACUAAAACCCAUAAAUCGGAAGUAAAAAUUUCAGAACCGGAAUAAGAAAAGGCAUAGUAUUCCUUGGAAUAGCUUAUUCCGACUCGGAAUAUGAAACAGAUUAAGGCGAAACAGAAUAAGAAAGAAACUAACUGUAACAGGACAAUGGAAAAUCUCUACGGGAUAGAAAAUUUUCAGAAUAAAAAGCAUUCAAGUCUCCUGUUUGGCUUCCGGGAAAAGGCAGAAUGAACAGAUUAUGCCGACCCACAGGUGGAUUAGUAAUUAUUUAAAAAACCAAAAGAAAAAAUAUUAUUUUUUAAAAGAAUGAAAUUUUUACGGAGAGAAAUUUUGGGUUUUUAUUUUAUAGCAUAUUAAUAUUAUAAUAUUUUUUAUUUAUUUUAUUUUAAUCUCAGGAAGGCAGAAAAUAUUAAUAUUAUAAAAACAUAUCAUUGAUUUGUUUUAUAAAAGUUGUGUAGGCCCAUUCACUCUUAAACGGUGGAUUUUUAAUCUAAUUAUUCAAUCGACGGUCCAUUAACGUUCUAUAUAUUUAAUAGAUAAUAAAACCUAAAUUUACAAACAAACCCACUAUCACACACCUACGAGAACAGGGAACCUAUCCCACGAGACCAAUACCAGACCAAAAAAACACAGAAAAGUUAGGCGGAAAACGAUGAUGAAAAAAAUCACAAAAUCAAAAACAAAUGCCGAUACAAAAGCCCACUACAAAACGCCAAAAAUAGGCCUACUAUUCUAAGUCCAAUAACCCAUUAAUCCAAAACAAAAGCGGUACACAGAAUUUAACACUGAAACGAAAGUCCCAAUAACCCCAGCCCAACAAUAUUCAGCUAAGCACAAAAUAUAAUGUAAGAACCGUGACGCGAAACAACAAAAAUACAACAGAGGGAAACACAGAACUCAAAAAUAAAAAAACAUAAAAAACAAGUUUAGGUAAGUGACAAAAACCCACAGAAAAUAGAUGUAAAAAGGCAAAGAAGAAGGAUUUAUAUUUACUAAAAACCAAAGUCCCUGACAAAUAAAACCUACUGGACAAAUUUAAUAGACUUUUUUACAUUUUCCAAAGUGAAUGUUUUGCAAAGAAAACUAAUAGAUAAUAAAAUAUUCAAAUCAUUCUUAAUUAUGUGACAUGCAUAAUACAAAAAAAUUUUAUUAAAAAGACCUAAAAAAUU